rnacentral:rRNA from 1 species
CCUACGGGAGGCAGCAGUAAGGAAUAUUGGUCAAUGGACGAAAGUCUGAACCAGCCAUGCCGCGUGAAGGAUUAAGGCCCUCUGGGUUGUAAACUUCUUUUAUCUGGGACGAAAAAAGGGUAUUCUUACUCACUUGACGGUACCAGAGGAAUAAGCACCGGCUAACUCCGUGCCAGCAGCCGCGGUAAUACGGAGGGUGCAAGCGUUAUCCGGAUUUACUGGGUUUAAAGGGUGCGUAGGUGGGCUUGUAAGUCAGUGGUGAAAUCUCCGGGCUUAACCCGGAAACUGCCAUUGAUACUAUAGGUCUUGAAUUAUCUGGAGGUAAGCGGAAUAUGUCAUGUAGCGGUGAAAUGCUUAGAUAUGACAUAGAACACCAAUUGCGAAGGCAGCUUACUACGGAUAUAUUGACACUGAGGCACGAAAGCGUGGGGAUCAAACAGGAUUAGAUACCCUGGUAGUCCACGCCCUAAACGAUGGAUACUCGACACUACAGACGAUACACUGUUGGUUGUCGUGUAGCGAAGACAUUAAGUAUACCACCUACGGUAAGGUAACGAGUCGCGAGAGUUAGUAAACGUUAAAGUUAAGUAAGUUAGUACGGUACGUGAGACGUACGACCGACGGACGACCGACCGACGGGAGGUUAGGGAG